rnacentral:rRNA from 1 species
CAAUAGCGUAUAUUUAAGUUGUUGCAGUUAAAAAGCUCGUAGUCGGAUUUUGGCUGAGAACGAUCGGUCCGCCGUUAGGUGUGCACUGAUUGGUCUCAGCUUCCUGGUGAGGAGGUGUGCUUCACGGCCACUUAGUCACCGUGGUUACUUUGAAAAAAUUAGAGUGUUCAAAGCGGGCUUACGCUUGAAUAUAUUAGCAUGGAAUAACACCAUAGGACUCCUGUCCUAUUUCGUUGGUCACGGGACGGGAGUAAUGAUUAAGAGGAACAGUUGGGGCAUUCGUAUUUCAUUGUCAGAGGUGAAAUUCUUGGAUUUAUGAAAGACGAACUUCUGCGAAAGCAUUUGCCAAGGAUGUUUUCAUUGA